CUAUUUUGAUGAGGCGCAUCAAUCAUAAGUAUUUGUCGUUUUAACUGUCUGCUUACAGUCGGCAAAGAAAGGGUGAGAUGCCGAAGUAAUCAUAAAGGCGAGUUAUGGUUAUUGGACUUUCAGGUUAAGAGCUAAAAGUCUGUCAUUAUUACCAAAUAAUGGAGUGCAUCACUUGUA
rnacentral:ncRNA from 2 species